CCUACGGGUGGCAGCAGUCGAGAAUUAUUCACAAUGGGGGAAACCCUGAUGGUGCGACGCCGCGUGGGGGAAUGAAGGUCUUCGGAUUGUAAACCCCUGUCAUGUGGGAGCAAAUUAAAAAGAUAGUACCACAAGAGGAAGAGACGGCUAACUCUGUGCCAGCAGCCGCGGUAAUACAGAGGUCUCAAGCGUUGUUCGGAAUCACUGGGCGUAAAGCGUGCGUAGGCUGUUUCGUAAGUCGUGUGUGAAAGGCGCGGGCUCACCCGGCGGACGGCCCAUGAUACUGCGAGACUAGAGUAAGGGAGGGGGAACCGGAAUUCUUGGUGUAGCAGUGAAAUGCGUAGAUAUCGAGAGGAACACUCGUGGCGAAGGCGGGUUCCUGGACAUUAACUGACGCUGAGGCACGAAGGCCAGGGGAGCGAAAGGGAUUAGAUACCCCGGUAGUC
rnacentral:rRNA from 1 species